GACGAACGCUGGCGGCGUGCUUAACACAUGCAAGUCGAACGAAGUGGCGAACGGGUGAGUAAUACGUGGGCAACCUGCCCUCCUUUUUGGGAUAAGCCUUGGCAACGGGGUCUAAUACCGAAUAAAGGGGGAUGGGUUAGCGGCCUAUCAGCUUGUUGGUGGGGGGGUGGCCUACCAAGGCAGUGACGCGUAGCCGGCCUGAGAGGGUGACCGGCCUGAGUGGGGCUGCGAUACGCCCCAGACUCCUACGGGAGGCAGCCGUGGGGGAUAUUGCACAAUGGGCGCAAGCCUGAUGCAGCGACGCCGCGUGGGGGAUGAAGGCUUAAGGGUUGUAUGUCUCUUACGCUAUCGAACGGGUAGGUAGAGAGAAAGCGCCGGCUAACUACGUGCCAGCCGCCGCGGUAAUUC
rnacentral:rRNA from 1 species